rfam:Carnobacterium sp. CP1, complete genome.
GGAAGAUUACCCAAGUCUGGCUGAAGGGGACGGUCUCGAAAACCGUUAGACGGGUUUUGCUCGUGCAAGGGUUCGAAUCCCUUAUCUUCCG